rnacentral:tRNA from 1 species
GCCUGGGUGGCUCCGUCGGUUAAGCGUCGGACUUGGGCUCCGGCCCUGAGCUCCAGGGUCGUGGGUUCGAGCCCCACGUCUGGCU